UCGAGGGGCAGCACGAUGUAGCAAUACAUUGGUGGCGACCGGCGCACUGGUGAGUAACGCGUAUGCAACCUACCUAUCAGAGGGGAAUAACCCGGCGAAAGUCGGACUAAUACCGCAUAAAACAGGGGUUCCACAUGGAAAUAUUUGUUAAAGAAUUAUCGCUGAUAGAUGGGCAUGCGUUCCAUUAGAUAGUUGGUGAGGUAACGGCUCACCAAGUCCACGAUGGAUAGGGGUUCUGAGAGGAAGGUCCCCCACACUGGUACUGAGACACGGACCAGACUCCUACGGGAGGCAGCAGUGAGGAAUAUUGGUCAAUGGGCGAGAGCCUGAACCAGCCAAGUCGCGUGAAGGAUGAAGGAUCUAUGGUUUGUAAACUUCUUUUAUAUGGGAAUAAAGUGAGGAACGUGUUCCUUUUUGUAUGUACCAUAUGAAUAAGCAUCGGCUAACUCCGUGCCAGCAGCCGCGGUAAUACGGAGGAUGCGAGCGUUAUCCGGAUUUAUUGGGUUUAAAGGGUGCGUAGGUGGUUAAUUAAGUCAGCGGUGAAAGUUUGUGGCUCAACCAUAAAAUUGCCGUUGAAACUGGUUGACUUGAGUAUAUUUGAGGUAGGCGGAAUGCGUGGUGUAGCGGUGAAAUGCAUAGAUAUCACGCAGAACUCCGAUUGCGAAGGCAGCUUACUAAACUAUAACUGACACUGAAGCACGAAAGCGUGGGGAUCAAACAGGAUUAGAUACCCUGGUAGUCCACGCAGUAAACGAUGAUUACUAGCUGUUUGCGAUACACAGUAAGCGGCACAGCGAAAGCGUUAAGUAAUCCACCUGG
rnacentral:rRNA from 1 species